CGCCGUUUCGAAGUGUGAUGUUUGGCUGUGGUGAAUUUCUGCCGCCCAGACAUGGAAUCGUGCACCGCGAAUGGUGUACAAGCAUUAUGAAUAAAAACCGUAUGCAUAUUCAGAGUAUUUGAUACUAUUUUUCGAGACAGUCGUUUUAAACGAAUGCGGCAGAGUUGGUGUAGUUGCAAUCAAAAGAGUGACUCUCGGUCACGUGUCGACUGCAAUGGCAGUGCUGGGAGCAAGUGGAAGUUUGGAGCUUUGCAAAGGAAGAGCAUGCAAUAUGUUGUAAUGUUUUUCCUGCCUGCUGAGUGUCUGGGAGGCAGCUGGUUGGAGUCUGGUGUGAGAAAUCAGCUCUGUGAUGAGGCUUCCUGCAGAUGAUUUGAAGUGAGCACUUUAGAAUAAGCAUCAGUUCCUUCUGUCCAUAUU